rnacentral:misc_RNA from 1 species
AAAUUAGCCAAAGCAAUUCCAAUAAUAUCACGGUUUGUUGCUAACUCGAGCCCCGGCAAAGAAUUGCUAUUGAUAUCAGAAGCCUUUGCUCUAGGGUCAUCGACACACUUCCCAUUAACAAUACCAAACAUACUAUGACCAGAGAUAACCUUGAAUAGCUCCUCGGGGUUUCCAGUUUGAGGCCAUAUCAGAAAAUCUUCCCCAACUCGGGAUCCCACAAUGGUCAGAUUAAGUCUUCGACAGACUUCAAUAUAAAUGACACUAAGCAAAAUUGCACUACAAUAUCCAGAGCUUAAUACUGAAUGCAGGUAUGCACACGUUGAAUCCACAAGUACAGGUGACCUUUUGAAACCCCUUAACUUGAAAAGCACCAUAUUCACGGCAUCUAAAACUUCAACUAAAUCGCAUCCUAUUUCUCUUGAAACUAGCUCUGCCUCCACUUCUCGCGCAAUUACAUCCAACUCAACCAUCCAUUCUUUCAUAUUUCUUCCAGCAAGAGGCAUGGCCUCCACGCAAGUCCAAUCUAUGGCAUGAGAAGCCAAUGAAGCAGAUCUCCUCUCACUUUGGAGUGAAU